UACACCCGAAUUUUUGGGUCUUUUCGAAAUUAUAUUGGGGCUUGUCUACGUAUUGGGUCAAGACCCAAUAUAUGUUGGACCCAACAAAAUUGUUUGUCUUAAAUGUAUCUGUCGGGCGGAACAAGUGUGCUCAACCUUUAUUCUUAAACACACUUAUUGGGUCUAUGAUUUUACAAUUGGGUCGUCAUAUAUAAAGUCACCGUGUUUAGUAUAUAUUUAUAUAUAAUUUUCAUAUGUUUGCGCAUGUGCAAGUUGUUGGCAGGUGCGCAUAUGAGGUGCGCGCAACUUUUCGGUCCUUACUGUCAGUUUAAGGAUAAUAGCCGAAGACUUCCGGUUUGAAAACACGUGGGACGUAAACACUACUUCGAAGUGCAUAAUGCCUUCAUUGAGGUCAAAACAGAGAGACAAAAGCAAGACAAACUGUCCAGUUAUCAAUCAAAUUUAUUGACACAUACAUAGGAUCGGGCGUUUUUGCUGAAGAGGACAUAGAAAAGGGAACUUUUGUUUGUUUCUAUGAGGGUUUGCUCCUUUCUGGUGAAGAAGGAUUGAAAAAGAUACAGCAGUGAACAACAAAUUGUAGGGAGUUUCCUGUUUUUCUUUCGACACAAGGGACAAGAGUUUUGUAUUGAUGCAACUUACAGCCAGGGAUAUGGCAGAAUGAUAAACGAUUCUCGCAAACCAAACUGUAAGGUGGUUGUCGAGCAGAAAGAAGAAAUUAAGCUGGCUUUUUAUACCAUUAAAGACAUCAAAAAGAGCCAGGAACUUAGAUUUGAUUAUAAUGACAAAGCUGCACAUUGGCGCAAAGUAUGUAUUUAAAAGUACAAAUGUAUAUUCAUGAAUGGUUAAGAUACAUUGCAGGGAUUUUUUUGUUAUGGCCGGUGGUUUUCCCGAUUGAAAAUAAUAUCAUUUUCCAAAUCCACAGGAAAAAAUCCCAAUUGAAAGUUAUAAAAUAGAAUUAUCGAUUAUAAAAAUUUAAGUUAGACAAUAAUUUCAAUUCAUUGAUAGGAUUUAGAUAUAUAUUUGUUGGGUCAUUAACCCAUACUUAGGUAUGCUAUAGGUUUUGUACCAUGGACCCAACAUUAUAUUGUAUUUAUAUACCUCCCAAUACAGACAUUAAGAAAACUGUCUAUGAUUUUCCAAUAUGACUGGCAAAAAUCACUUUGUAAGGCUAAACGGGGCGCGUUGGUCCAGUGGUAGCGCGUUCGACUGAAGAUCGAAAGGUCCCUGGUUCGAAUCCUACACUAGCCUAACGUGAAUUUCUCUGGGCACAAGAAAUGAAUCUCCGAGGCUCCACUCGACCAAGGUGUGAAUUGGUACCCUGAGAGGGCGAUGUCUGUGCAAGUUCGAAAUUCCCGGGCGCCGUAUGUUGGCUGCACUCAAAACUGGGAGACAGGGGAAGUUAAUGUCAAAGGGUGGCUGAACGGCUGAAUAGCUGAAAGCGGCCCUACCAAGACUGGUAAUUUUUUUUUUUUUUUUAAACAUUCCAUCGGGUCAGACACACACCCUUGUAAUUGUUGGAGGAUGAAAAACGAUAAUUAUUGUCAAGCCAACUUGCGCUGAGUUAUACUUAGUUGCCACUUUGGCAUAUUGUUUGGUGUAUGUGCAUCUUUAAGUCAGGAUUUGUUCAUUCUAUAUCUUGCUCAUUACUUGAAGGAUGACAAAAUAAAUUUGGUAUAAAUGUUCACCAUCAUAGGAUGGUGUCUCACACACAAAACCCAGGUCCGUACCUCUAAGGUCAAAGUCUCACUUGGGGAGUCAGUGCUGCAAAUCCGUGUCUGGAGCGUAACUUCCACUUGCAUGGAGGGAUUUAAAUAUAACUUGGGACAAAUGUUCGCCAUAGCAAGGCGGGAGUGUAGUGCUAAAAAUUCAAGUGUCUGUGGUAAAGGUCAAGGUCACAUUUAUGCGUCUUAGGUAAAAAAAACAACAACAAAAUAAAUCAUUCAUUUGAGAAUAUAAUUUCUAUAAUACAGGGAUGGAUUUAAAUAUAAAUUAGUAGAAUUAUUCUCCAUGUUGAGUUGAGUUGUCUCGUUGUUAAAUAAAUUGGCCCUUUGGACCUCUUUCCCUUUUAUUGUCAUAAUAGCUCCUUUCAUGUUGCCUUUUGCUCUUGUAAAAUGCCCCUGGAAAGUCAAAUAUGAAAACACAAUAUGUCACAAAGUUUCUGUCUGUUUGUAAGGUGAAACAAACAUAUUUUAUUUUAGCCCCAAUUUCAUUGCAUAUAUUUGUCCAAGUAUUGUCAAGAUUAGAAAAUAAUAAAUAGAAAUAGCUUAAAUAGGUCAGCGUUUUUCCCCGUAUUUUGGGAACAUGAUCCAUACCCAUGAGAUUGGGAAUUUCAGCGGUGUUUUGUUAAAAAUUUGGAAAAAAUGCAUGACAGUUAUUUUAAAAUUGAAUAAAUGAAAACAAGCAAUCACUUUCUAGGAUAGCAAGUUCAAUCAUUUUAACACUGUAUCAGUGAUGUAGUCCAUGUUUCAAACAUUUUAGAGAUUUUUUAUUCAAUUUUUUAAUUUGUUGUUCUUUCAAUUGGAAAUUUUUUCUU